CGACUCGAGGAAGAGCGCUGCAAAUUGCGGGACGAACUGGCGGUCGCGCAGAGCGCCUUGA
rnacentral:rRNA from 1 species